rnacentral:lncRNA from 1 species
ACAGUUUCCGGUGCUUGUACCCCCAGGCGCUCCGCACGCUGGCCUCCAUCUGCUGCGUGGAAGAGGGUGUCCACCAGCUGGAGAAGUGGAUGGCGUUCUGUGCUUGGCCGACAUCCUGACCGACAACAGCCACUCAGAGGCCACACGGGCUGAGGCUGCGGCUGUGGUGGCCCAGGUCACCUCCCCACACCUGCCCGUCACCCAGCACCUCAGUAGCUUCCUGGAGAGCAUGGAGGAGAUCGUGACAGCCCUCGUCAACUGUGCCAAGAGGCCUCAUCAGGGGAAGUCUUCCUACUGGCCUCUGC